UGUACGUUUUGCUUGCAUUAGAAGACAAAGGUAAUUGUAGUCAGCACUAUUUAAAUGUACAAGUAGACAACAAAAGAGAUAAGAGCAUAACCUGAAGAUUAAUGUGCAAAAAGAAUGCCUUGUGAUCUUAUCUAAAGUAUUUUUACCGUAGUUCACCUACCAAGCAUAAUGACUGUAUCCCAGCUACAGGGCAAUAUUAAACAAAUUGACUAUUGUGUAUCACGCCAUUCUCCAAUUUCUAAUUAAAAAAAAUACUUCCUCCGAAUGCGUUAGAUGCAACACAAUGUUAAAUUUCUUCGAACUGUAUUAUCUUGAAUACAUUGAUGAAUCACACGUGUAGAUGCAACAUUUGGGCGUGUGUUGUGUACACGCCGUGUACACAUGGAUUUUGUCCAGGUAAUGCGGCAUAGUGAAUGCUUUUAUCAAAAUUAUAAGAGAUCUCAUAAAACUCCGGCUUAAGCAAGGAGAUAAGCACAUCAGAAAUUACAUAGUUGUUUCGAAAACAUUCACGACUCCCACCGGGGUACUCACUCAUUCUUAUCCACAUGAGAAAAAAACGUGAUUGAGGAAACCGGAGAACGUUGCAACGAGAACUCGAGCUGGAGGGGCUGCACUCCACUGCAUACAUCCAAGGCAGUAGCUUCUUGCCUUGCGAGUAAGUAUGCAAACAAUAUAUCGAUACGCCAGAGACAUCGAUACACCUGUCUGGAGCCACUUGUCCGAAUCCGCUUUGAACAUAUUUCAUUGGAUCUUGAUUAUGCAUCGACACCUCUAUCUCGAUGCAUCGAUUUAAUGUUGUAUCGAUAUCCGUGCAAUACUUUUUACAUUCUUUCACGGGGGAAACGUUACUGAAAAACUUUAAGUAAUGCUGCGCUCACUCACUCAUAUUACUCGGCGUGGUCCUGAACACAUGGUGGGUCCGUUCGGACACACUACUAAUGACGUGUCGGUAACAUUUGCACAAUUUUUCAAAUAACGAGUCCGCCAAUUUUUUUUUUCUAAACGAAAUGCCACCUUACACAGCGCUGUGCACACCGACACGCACCGACGUGCACUGCCGUGACGCGCAUGCGUGCUCACGGCAAAUGUAAGGAACCUAUGGCUCAUGGCGGAUUCUCAGUAAGAUAUCUAUUCUUGUUAUUGGAGUAAAGUAGAACCAACUGACGUGCAAUAAACUGAGAUAGAACAGAAUUAGAAGGGAUAUUCUUACAUUUGCAAUAAGAGAACACGAAUGGCUGCGACAAAUUAUUAGACGAAGUAUUCCGGGUCGCGUGCUUGUCAUAUGCACUUACGCUGUUACGCUCAUUUUUUAAAUGUAUUUCAAUCGAGACUGUUGAACCGUACCAAAUGACACGUUUAAACUAUUUGGACAGGGGGGGAUAGGUAUUGUAAAAUAAAAAUGCAAGUAUCUAACGCUAAUAGAAGUCAUCUCGUGACACAAAAUAAUCAAAGAAACCACGAGUGAAAACUGUACGAUAAAAAUAGCGAGACCCCAGUACGUUACGGACUUUCAUGAACUUUUAAAUCGCUAAAAAUAAAAGUUCUAUCAAGUUACGUUGUUUGAUAGAAAUAUUUAUUAUGAUAAACGGCUAUAUUGUUCUUUUACGGUUGUUAUAACUACAUGUAACAAAUAAAUACUGUAUCGGAUUAUUUGUUAGAGAUAUUGAACAAGAAAUCAUAAAUUUCCGUGUUCUUAAGUUAACAGGUAGCUUUCUUUCGUGACAUUCAAUAAUCGAAUAGUAGUUUUAUAUUACGAUAUUAAUAUAGAUAAAUAUCUAAUAAACAACAUUAACAAAUCCA